rnacentral:lncRNA from 1 species
CACCUAAUUUCCAGUUGGAAAUGAUGAUAAACCUAAAAAUUUUCCAUUUCUUUAUAAAAGUACAAUGUGCUCAUUAAAAUAAUUUGCAGAUUGCACAGAUGUUCAAAUAAGAGAACUCCUGGAUCCCAUCAUUCAGUGAUUGGCUAGGAAGCCCUAUUUGGCAGCCUUUGCCCAUCUCAUUUGGCAACUCUUGAGCCUGCAUCAUUCAGAGAUAUAAGAAGCUUAGAAGGUGGAAAACUGAAUUUCUUUGAUUUUCCAGACAUCCUUGCUGAAAAAACAUAUCACCACAAGCAAUUUGAAGGACACUGGCUAAUAAAAUCUUUGGAAAAGAAAAGGAAACCAUAUGAAUGCCAAGGAAAGAAGCACAGAAACAAUCUUCGAAAUGUCAGACUUUAAGAUUAAUGUACUAAGAUGAAUUUGAAAGCUAAGUAAAUAGAAGGUAAAUAGAGAUAGCUAAUUUUCCAUUUACAUGGAUAAAGAGACGUAAUAUACCCGUGGAUCAUUUUAAAAUGAGCAUACAUGUUGGUAUUUUAUAGAUAAUAAAAUUUAACCUAUUGUAUCUAUAGUUUCUAUG